rnacentral:rRNA from 1 species
UACGUAGGGUGCAAGCGUUGUCCGGAAUUAUUGGGCGUAAAGGGCUCGUAGGCGGUCCAUCGCGUCGGGAGUGAAAAGCUGGGGCUCAACUCCAGUCCUGCUUCCGAUACGGGUGGACUAGAGGUAGGCAGGGGGAGAACGGAAUUCCUGGUGUAGCGGUGAAAUGCGCAGAUAUCAGGAGGAACACCGGUGGCGAAGGCGGCAUCCUGGACCGGUAUUGACGCUGAGGCGCGAAAGCCAGGGGAGCAAACGGG